rnacentral:rRNA from 1 species
ACCCGGGAAGAUAAUGACGUACCGGGAGACUAAGCCUCUUCUAACUUCGUGCCAGCAGCCGCGGUAAUACGAAGGGGGCUAGCGUUGUUCGGAAUCACUGGGCGUAAAGCGCACGUAGGCGGAUCUUUAAGUCAGAGGUGAAAGCCUGGAGCUCAACUCCAGAACUGCCUUUGAUACUGGGGAUCUCGAGUCCGGGAGAGGUGAGUGGAACUGCGAGUGUAGAGGUGAAAUUCGUAGAUAUUCGCAAGAACACCAGUGGCGAAGGCGGCUCACUGGCCCGGUACUGGCGCUGAGGUGCGAAAGCCGUGGGGAGCCAACAGGAUUAGAUACCCUGGUAGUCCACGCCGUAAACGAUGGAUGCUAGCCGUUGGAAAGCUUGCUUCUCAGUGGCGCAGCUAACGCUUUAAGCAUCCCGCCUGGGGAGUACGGUCGCAAGAUUCACACUCAAAGGAAUUGACGGGGGCCCGCACACGCGGUGCGAGCAUGUGGU